rnacentral:rRNA from 1 species
UCUACGGGAGGCAGCAGUAGGGAAUCUUCCACAAUGGACGAAAGUCUGAUGGAGCAGCGCCGCGUGAGUGGAGAAGGAUUUCGGUUCGUAAAACUCUGUUGCAAGGGAAGAACAAGUAGCGUAGUAACUGGCGCUACUUUGACGGUACCUUGUUAGAAAGCCACGGCUAACUACGUGCCAGCAGCCGCGGUAAU